GGAAAAUCCGUCGACUUUAUAAGUUGUGAGGGUUCAAGUCCCUCUAUCCCCA
rnacentral:tRNA from 32 species